CAAGGAUAGUCUUUAAAAAGUCGGAACUAGUGACAAAGUUUGCAGAAAAAAAACAGCGCUUUUAUGGAAAGAUGCUUUCAAUGAACAUAACAAUGGUAUCUUCAUAUUUCAGACAAUUAGUUGUAAACCCAUUCGAACACAUAUACCAGCAUUUUUAGUUAUUGAUUAUGUUUGUAAAAAAUAUGAAUGAACAAAAAUAUAUAGUAUACACUGUUUUCCAUUAUACAUUGAUUACUUACUUCACCAAUAUACAAUUAUUGACUAUUUUGUAUUAUUAAUUUCAGGAGAAUUUUCAAACUCGACGAAUAAUCACACAAAAUCAAAAGCAAAAAUUUCGGCAACUUUUUAAACAGGAGAAUGUUCAAACUCGCCGAAUAAUCUCACAAAAUCGGAAGAAAACAUUUGGCGACUUUUUAAACAGGAGAAUUAUCAAACUCGUCGAAUAAUCACACAAAAUCAGAAGCAAACAUUUUGGCGACUUUUUAAACAGGUAUAUUCGAAUGACUGUUA